UCCGGUUUAACACCGGCAGUCUCGCUAGAGUGCCCGGCCGAACCGCUGGCAACUAACGACAAGGGUUGCGCUCGUUGCGGGACUUAACCCAACAUCUCACGACACGAGCCGACGACAGCCAUGCAGCACCUGUGCUGACUCCGGCCGAACCGAAGGGACCAUCUCUGGUCCCGGCGAGUCACAUGUCAAGGGCUGGUAAGGUUCUGCGCGUUGCGUCGAAUUGAACCACAUGCUCCACCGCUUGUGCGGGCCCCCGUCAAUUCCUUUGAGUUUCAACCUUGCGGCCGUACUCCCCAGGCGGGGUGCUUAACGCGUUAGCUACGGCACCGCAGGGGUCAAUACCCGCAGCACCUAGCACUCAUCGUUUACGGCGUGGACUAC
rnacentral:misc_RNA from 1 species